UCCACCAUGGCCUGGAGUCCUUUCCUACUUCUACUCUUCUCUCAAUGCAUAGGGUCCUGGGCCCAGUCUGUACUAACGCAGCAGCCCUCACUGUCUGGGACUCCAGGACAGACAAUCACCAUCUCCUGCACUGGAAGCAGCACCAAUAUUGGUACCUAUAUUGUAAACUGGUAUCAGCAGUUCCCCCAAACAGCCCCUAAACUCCUCAUCUAUGGUGAUAGUAAUCGACCCUCAGGGGUCUCUGAUCGCUUCUCUGGCUCCAAGUCUGGCAACUCUGCUUCACUGAUCAUCACUGGGCUUCAGCCUGAGGAUGAGGCUGACUAUUACUGUCAGUCUUAUGACCGUAGCCUUGAUGCUCGCACAGUGCUCCAGACUCAUGGGGAAGUAAGAAAAAAUAACCCUUUACCAUCUGUCAGGAGAGCAAAUACCAAGAAGCUUUGCUCAGAUUUUGAGGUGACAGCUUGCCCUGGACGGGUGAAUCUCGGCCACCGCUGCCUGGCCACCAGCCCAGAAGGAGGCGUUUCAGCACUGCCGGAUAACGUGUGGCGUAGAGACCCUAUGAAGAGGUUGCUAACCAAGCCUUCAUGA